ACCAUUUAUGUAGCUAUAUAUACCUAUCUAUCUUCCAAAACUAAGGUCAGGGAAGGAGGAGAAGACAAAUUAACCACCAACAACAGCAGAAGAAAAUAAAGGAGCAAACUAAAAUGGCAGCAAAUAAAUACGUUGCAUUGUUGUUGGUGGUGUUCCUUAUCGCUGGAAGUGCUAAUGCCAGACCAAAAGAAGUCAGCUGCGCAAGUAUUUGCAUCGACAAAGAAUGCAAAAGUGACUUUAACAGUUGGUGUGCAAUAUUCAAUUGUGGUAUCAAAUGUGCACUCAUAGGACCACAAAAGAAAACUGAAACAGUUCAACGACAAAUGGUAAAAGAGCAAGGACUAACAUCAUCAAGGAAGAUUCAACAAUAAAUGAUGAAAGAAGAGGCGAAGCACAAUUGGAAAAAUACACCUACUCAAGUUUUUUAAUACGUGGCUUUCUCAUGAACAAGGACAUGCAUUUUAUACACGUCCUUGUCCUCCUUUCCUCUGCUUGUUAUUAACUAUCACAAUAAUAAUACCAUCAAAAUAUUAUCAAUAUU